rnacentral:rRNA from 1 species
UACGUAGGGUGCAAGCGUUGUCCGGAUUCAUUGGGCGUAAAGAGCUCGUAGGCGGUUCGAUAAGUCGGGUGUGAAACCUCCAGGCUCAACCUGGGAACUGCGUCUGAUACUGGAUGGCUUGAAUCCGGGAGAGGGAUGCAGAAUUCCAGGUGUAGCGGUGAAAUGCGUAGAUAUCUGGAGGAAUACCGGUGGCGAAGGCGGCAUCCUGGACCGGCAUUGACGCUGAGGAGCGAAAGCCAGGGGAGCAAACGGG